GAAUCGAUCUACCAAUAGCCCUGAUCUUGUCCAGUGGAAACUAGUUUCGCAAGAACAGCAAAGGAGUUACGCCUUCGCGCUUCCGUAAUGCCGAUGCAGAUUAGGCGUUAAACAGAGACUCCCGCGUGUUUGUUCAAGCGUAAAGAAUCAUUAUACAACAGUUUUACGAGGAGAAACGGAAUGCAGCAACUGUAAGGUGCAGGAAUUACGAUGACCCGUCGAGAUGAAUUGCUAAUUCAUGGUUACUUUGACAUACAGAAAUAGACUUUUAACCAGAUGAAAAUGUCCACGGACUAAAUACGUCAGAACGAUGUCUGCGCCCUAAAUUCGAGAUCCAAAUAAAGCAGCACAGCAACCAAUUAAGAAAUGAAGGAAUAGCGAGAGUAAACCGCAGUGAAGACUUUUCUAUUGUCUCUUUUGAGAUCAAUUUCUCGUCAAAGAAUUGUGGUACAAAUUUUUCCCAUGGAAAGUAUGUCAAACAUGGAUAGCUUUUCGUGUUG